GACGAACCGUGCGAACGUUGUUCGGAAUCACUGGGCUUAAAGGGCGCGUAGGCGGUCUACCAAGUCGGGGGUGAAAUCUUUCGGCUUAACCGGAAAAGGGCCUUCGAUACUGGUAGACUAGAGCGAGGUAGGGGCGGAUGGAACUUCCGGUGGAGCGGUGAAAUGUGUUGAUAUCGGAAGGAACGCCGGUGGCGAAAGCGAUCCGCUGGACCUCUUCUGACGCUGAGGCGCGAAAGCCAGGGGAGCAAACGGG
rnacentral:rRNA from 1 species